CUCCCAUCAUGCAGCGCGAGGAGCAUGACGUCACGGGAGCUGGGAGUGAGAAUGAGCGUGGUGAUGGGGAGGGGUCUCAAAUACUUGAACUGCGCGCUGCCAGGGGAAAGUGGGAGCUGGAUCCCGGCUGCUGGGAUGUGAGAGCUGCCCUGGUCUCCGCUUUAGAGAUGAGAAGUGAGCGCGGGUCACAGCCAGAAGGUAGAGGGCCAGAGCCAGCCCGUGUUCCCAAUCUAGGCCGUCCAUGAGCAAGUCCUCUGAGUCCCCACCCAAACCACACUAUCGGCAUCUCCCGGUCUGAGUGAGUGAUGCCUGGGUCAAUUCAGUCCCUUCCACAGAAUCUGCAUGGAAACCCAGCAGGGCUGAGGCUGGUGGGCAGGACCCCAUCGAUAACUGCCCCCAACCAGGUCUACUGUGCCAUGGGCUGGCUCCUGCUGUGUGGAAAAGGUGCACAGGUAAGUCUGAGUUCAGACAGAGAGCCACCAGAGGGAGGGGUCCUCCUCCCCGCUACCAGAAAGAUGAAGAGCAGAAGAAUGGACUAUGGACGUCAGUGUCACCUGGUGCCUUGUCUGUGAGUCACAAAGAUAAUUUCCAGUCCCUUGACAGGGUCUGCACCCCAGAGGCCUUCAUCACUGCACCCGCCCGCAUACAGCUGAGGGGUCAGAGCAAACCCAAGGACCAGGCUCAGCAUCAGCAUCCUGGAGCCAAGGGGGCAUGGGAAGCAGAAGACAGAGGCAUGGCUACUUAUUAUUGCUUUAAAAAUAUAUUUUAGCAAAAUAUUGUGGUUUGUUAAAACUGGGUAGGGAUGGAGCUGUUCAUUAUAUUAUUCUUUGCCUUCAAGAUGUUCUAUAAUAAAAAUAGUUCUGAAUUUUUGAAACAUUUAGCAGCCCACCCCCCAUGCUGGACAGAAGACGGUCAAAGGCCUUGGGUAUACAGCCCGCCCCCUCCACACCGUGACUGAGCCCCUGGGGGUGAGGACGGACCUGGCCAGAGGAGUCUCCAGCCUGAGGAGCCAUCCUUGUGAAGGUCCCGACUAUCCCCUCAACAGAUCCCUGGUGGGCAGGUAGCUCUGGAAGCCACUCAGCAGCCCUACAGGAGCCAACAAGGCUUCAGGAUGGCCCCAGAGUCCCCAAAACGUCCCAACUGACGGAUGGGGGCCCAGGCUGAGCUCUGGAUCUGAGGAGAGCAGGUGCCACCCCUCACCUGCUGAGCAUGAUCACCUGGAGACAGACCGAAGUCACUGAGGGGGCCACCUGCAGGUCCUAGGUCAGAAAACCCAGAGCCUACCCCCACCCAGGGCAGCCAUGAUGAUCCCAACACUGUCAUCUGAAGGAACCUCUAAGAACCGGGUGACAUCAGUCCAAAGGUCCCUUUGCCUCUAAGAAACAGAGUGCUGAAAGUUCUGUCCUCUGCCCUGGGGCAGCCAGAAAGGGUGUCAUGGUGAAGGGGACACUGGGCUGGCAGAGCAGAGCACUGCCACCUGCACCUACACACACACCCCCAUGCGACCACGUGAGUGGUGGUGAGGAAAGACUGCAGGAGGGCCAUCCCGCUCAGCCCCUGUGGUGGCCUCAUUGUCACAGGAAGUGCAGGUGAAGAGGCACAACCACCCGUCAACCUUCAUGAGCAUCCACUUUGUGCAGGAAUAGCACAGUGAACAGGACAUGUCCUCACCGGGGAGUCUGGUUUCCUUCCAAGGAUGGUGGAAAGCCACUGGAGGCAGAGGUGGGUCUGCAAAGGACCCCCUGGCUGCUGUUAGGGAAGAGACCAGUGCUGACCGCAAGCAGAGAGGCCCUGGUGUCCCUGAAGCCCCCAUCCCAAGACCUGGGCUGCUGCCAUGUCAGCUCCACAGGGGUCUCUGUCGGGUCUGUUCACCCAAGAAGGUUCCCAGCACUGGUCAGCGCCCAGGACAUAGAGCUCUGCCGGCUGGUGAAACCAGCAAACUUCAGAUACUUUAUAGGAACUGCUCAAGCUGCGGUCUAAACUCUUGGGAACCAACCAAAGUGGGACAAAAGGGCAAAACACCAGCGUGGGAAUUCAAGGACCAAAGAAAAGAAGACAAACCACUCCUCAGAGGACAAGGUUAACACGAGGGCGGCUGCACCCUCUUGUGGCCAUCAGGGGAACUGCACCAAAGCAGCCAAGGCGGGAGCCAUCCUUGCACUUGGAGAAGUGAACUUAGCCUUGAACUUGACUUCCUUCACCUCAGGACUCCAUCUUUGAUGGGGGUCUCCACACAGGGCCCAACCAUUGGAGGACUCAGGAGGAGUUCAGUGCAAUGACAACCAGAACUUUAAAUAAAACACUGCUCUUGAAAAACAAAAUCCUCCAUUUCACCAUUGAUGUUCCCCGGGAGAAAGGCAUCGGCUGCCAGAGUGUUAAUGCAGUGGGCAUCCCACAGCUUCCUAGAAAUGUGCCCAGCCCUCCCUGCAGUUCAGUUCAUUAUCAGGCUGUCUACAAAGUCCUUUCCAAGCACGUGCAAGAUUGGGUCUGGAUCUAACAAUAGGGGAGCCUUCAGCCGGCCAUGUCCCCCCUAAACCUAGUGUGCCAAGGGGAGGGCCCCACCUCUGCCCAGCUCACACUCCUGUGACCAGCACAGGUGCUCUGCAAUAGCCGCCUGCCUUCUGCUGGUUCCUGUGUGACCCCCACACUCCACAGGGAGCAUGAGGACGGAGAACACAAGCAGGAGACCCCAGGGAAGAGGGAAAACAGCCAGCGGGCUCCUGUGCACGGCUCCAUGAAACCUUAAAUAUUCCAGCGACCCCCUCCCUCCCAGACUCUCCUUUGCAGGGGUGCCAGGAUGGAAGCAGGGGGACAGGACCCCUGGAAAGAUGGGGGUAAAUGAAGAGAGCCCCCCGUAAAGCACGCAGGAACGUGGGCCUUUGCGGUCCUGGCUGAGCUCCUGCUUCCUGACUCUGGGCGUGGAGCAGCGGCCGUCCUCCUACCCUGCAGGGGCAGGAAGGGGGACGCAAGGCCGGCAGCGGAGCAAGGAGCCCUGCAUCAAUCUUGCCUGAGAGCAGGGCUCUCACCACUCCCUGCUCCGCUCCCUCUGUGAGACAGGGUCCCCAGAACUCUGUGAUCACUCACGUUUCUGGAGCUACAACAGACCCCAGAGACAGACUCUGAUGCCCCCACUGGGCAAAGGAAGAAAAUGAGAUGCAAAGCACCUAAGUCCUUGCUGGGGCCACCCACCCUCCGGGGCUCAGACCUGCACUGCAUUAACAUGCCCUGGCCAAGGUGCCCCAUCUGACAGGUGUGCCACAGGACAGAGGAGGACUCCCACAGCCCUCUGAGCCAGCCCACGCUUGGUGCCUCCCACCUCACUGAAAUCCCCACCACCAACCCAACUCAACACGGCCAUCCAAGACACCCAACACCGGCUCUACCCCAUGCCUUGACCUGCCACCUAGACUGCAGGGGGAAGAAGUGGGCGUGUCCAGCACCAUGUGGACUCACAGGGAGUGGGUAGAGGCCUGGCCAGGCUGGGAAGGGGCCCAGGCCUUCACAGCACCAGCGUUCACUGAGCACCAGCGUUCACUGAGCACCUGCUUUUGACAGGCCUUGGAGAUCUGGGGGAAUCUGCCCAGCAGACACCCUGGGUAGGAAAAGUCCGGAGGCAUCACACAGCAGAACUGCCCCUCGAUUCAAUCACAAUCAGGCAGACAACCCUUCUUUGAAAUUUCCAACCAAAGAAUGUGAGCAGGCACGAGGGUGAAUGAACUGUGGUAUGUGCGCUCACAACAGGCCACAGCGGGAGGAACAGAGAGAGGCUGUCCUGCCUGCGCCCUUCUCCAGGAGUUCAAACACCACCCCACAGUGCUGUCAUGGGUCCCUGAGGACAGCGACCAACCUGGCUCCUGUGACAAGGAACUGGGGUCCUAGGCUGCCCUCCUCUGGCCUGGCUUCCUCGUUUGUACCCCAACAGCCCCAGCAGGUUCCCCGGGAGGCAGAAGGUUGGCUCAGGCACUCAGAGACCACGGAGGCCAAGGCGGAGCCACGCUCUAGCAAGAUGACAAGGAGGACUUGGUGAAGGACCUAACGGAAGGUGCUGGGAGAGUGAGGGCCUCCGCAGUCCAGCCUGCAGGAGCCACUGGCCCUUCAGAAAGGAUGGGCAGGUUGAGCAGGAAGGCCUCACGGGAUCCCGAGCCACAGGGUAAUACUCAGGUUGUGUGCAUGACAACAGGUGACUUUUAAAAUAGGAGAAUGAUCACAUUAAAAUAAUGGCCUUUGCGACCCGAACAGUUCCUCCCCCUUCCUCGAAUGAGACGUGAGCAUUUCAAUGUUUCCUGGAUUUAUACACUUAGGAGACUCUGGGCUGAGCCUCACCAUACACAGCCCGGAUUUAUGUCACCAUCCUCCAUCACAGAAAUGGCCAGCCGCUUCCCAGAGUCACAGUUCAAACACAGCCUCAAGUGGAUCUAUAAAUUACAGAAAAUCCAUAGCGCUAGGUAUAUCGGUGAUACUUUAAAAACAGAUCGUAAGUUCUGUAGCCAUAAAGAUGAUCAUUCCAGGCAUCGAUUUGUACCCACCACAAAUGGGGAUCCUCUGCGUGUUCACAGAGCCCUGCUCUCCAGCCCCUCUGCCCUUCACUGAAACUCCUGUGCACCCCAACGCAGGGGUCUGCCUACCAACACGGGGGCCUGCCGGGGCUUUGCAUUUACAGAGCAAUUGCUCAGCAAUUAAACCGGUGCCGUCACCAGCCUCUGUGCUGGUACCUUU